ACAUAUUCAGAUUGUUGAGGUCGGGUCAUUCAGCCCUAGACUUUAUGUCAUGCAAACACACUGCCCUAGUUUCCACCAAUCGUUAGCCUUCGAUCAUUCACCUUAAAUGCCCCCAUUUUGGUGUAUAUAAGAUGCAAAAUUUGGGUUAGGAGAACAAAUCUCCUCACUAGGUCAGAAUUAUAAGAAGUUAAAACGGGGACCAGCACCCUUACCAGGCGCUGGUCCCCGUAACGGUGAUUCAUACAACAAGCAGCGAGAGUCGUUUACCAUCUAGAUUACUUCAGCAAAAAAAAAGAGAGAGAGAAUGACGAAAGUUAAAGACCGCUUUAGACUGAGUGGACCUCUGAAAACGAAGAGAAGACAAGGCUGCAAAGUUAGAGAGAAAGUUUUACAUCGUCUGAUUGAUCGAGCCAGUCCAUGCCGAAUUUGAACGAAGAAAAAGGAUAAAAAGCAAAUCAUGGAGAGAGAAGAAGAGGAGGAACUCUCAGAGAAUUUGAGAAGUUCCUGUCAGCAGUUUGAUCUGAACGAUCUGUUGAUUUAUACUGGUGUGUUUAGUUUUAGUUUACUAUGUCUAUAUUUUAUUAAGUCAGUAACGUGCACUUUGGUGCCAAGUCGGAUGAUGUAUCAUCCCGGUGAAAUAAGAAUUUGAUGCUUUAUUUGUGUAACUGAUAAUGAGAGAAUGAGCGCUGAGUUAUGUUCUCUGGUGUCAAUGCUUACAUGUCGAUAGAAUAUUAAGUGAACAGACUGAUAGUGAGAAAAAGAUUUGACAGCAUGUGGUAAAAAGAAUGCUGAAAGGGAGUGUGUUCGAAUGAGAGAGCAGACUGUUGUAUGCAUUAAGGGUGCAAAAGAAAUGUUUCGAACAUUUCUGCAUUUAGAUGCUGAGUUUUGAAAUACUGCAUAAUAUUGUAUUAUUUGUUAUGGGACUCCAUUACUUACAUUUAGUACUUUUUUAGUACUCCGUGUCUUCUUGUGCCAUAUUAAGACAUGUAUAUAUGUAUAACAUAUUACUGCGUAGCAGAGCAGUGCUAUAAUAUAAUGUAACCUGCUUAUUCUUUUUUGAGUUGCAUUCUCAGGUGUGUGCGCCACUGAAUAUUAUAUUUAAGCAGCACAUAAGGGUGAACUAGCCGGUGAUUUUUGUGUUUGGAACCUCUGUGGUUUCCUAGUAUGUAUGUCAUUAAUGUAUGCUAAGAAAUUCUAGGGUAUUUGAUGCUAAAUCUAGACACUAGAUUGUCGGGAGUGUUUGGUAUGGAAUACCUGAUAAAGAGUACUUGGUGUGCGUGUGUGUUCAUGUGUUAUGGUUGCUUCAUAGCAGCGACGAUGAAUAUGAAUUAGAAUAUCUGUAGAGUAGAUGAUGCUUGUUUUAUCUUUAUGUGCCUUCAAUUCAUUGAACAGAAUUCUCUGUAGAUCUGGAUUGGGAUGAAUAUGUACCGGUGAUUUUGUACAUAUAUAACUGCAUUGCUAUUUUAAUUAGUGAGGCUUAUGCUUUUUUACACAGUUAUACAACUCACAACAGAAAAGAGAAAAUAUAAUUGAGGCUUAUGUAAACAAGUGUUGUGACAAACUAACCCGGUGAAAUACUAUCAAUUAUAAAAAGAGAGUGGGAGGGGGAGUCUUUAUGAAUGCAUAUGAAUUUAUGAAAGAAGGAAAUUAAUUAGCUUGUAUUAUUGUUUACUGUUCUUAAUUAAAAUUGAUUCAGGCCCUGUUUGUUCUGCAGUGGCCACGGAUGAAUAUGUACCGGUGACGAGAUCAUUAAUCAAAACAGAGAGAGAGAGAGAGAGAGAGAGAGAGAGAGAGUAAAUCCUAAUUUUUUUUCCAUUAUUGUGCUGUGAAUUUCUGUGCCAUAUUGUUUUCUUGACUAUAUAUCAGAUAUUUUGUUUGCAAUGCAUCCAAUGCUACUACAAGUAUGAUUUGUUUUUGUCCGAUAAACAAGUUUUACAAUAAAGAAGAUCAACAUCUUAAA